rnacentral:tRNA from 1 species
GGUAGGGUGGGUGAGUGGCUUAAACCGACGCUCUUGAAAAGCGUUAUACCGAAAGGUAUCGUGAGUUCAAAUCUCACCCCUACCG